rnacentral:snoRNA from 1 species
CCUUAAAUAGGUUGUUGCUUGAGAGACUAAAGUUAUUCUCUUGCAAAUUAAUUAAUUACAGGCUAAAGAAAUUUUUUUAAAUUAUGAGCAUAUACCAACCAAACUGUAAUGCGAUAUCAGCUCAGAUUGGGUGAUGCUUCAGAAACAUUA